UUUAUUUGAUUCAAAUUGAUUUCUGUACAUAGAUCGGUUAUUUUAAAACGUUGCUAUGGCCACACCAGACAGAUGGUCACACUUAGCAGAUCAUAUGUUCUUGUAGUUCGUAUUGUCUUGCCCAAAAUUGAAAGAUAAUAUGCGUAUAAAACAUGUCAUGUUAGAUAAACUAACCACAAUAUUUCGGCAAAGUGAUUCUGUUUAGCGAUGUUCCGAUUUCAUACAGAUCUUAUUGUUUUUACAGCAUCAUAACCAUGCACGCCUUUUACGUGAAUAAAUUUACAUACAUAUUAAUCUAUGGAUGUGGAGUUUUCUGUAUACAGCAGGAAAGUCAAUGGGUUUCUAUCUGAAUGAUAAAAUUUUUAAAUUUGAUACUGAUGCUGAAGAAAUACAAAUAAUUCAAUACAUGUUUAUCCAUAUGUAUAUGUUUGUACAUUCAUACAUACAUACAUACAUACUUAGUAUGUAAUACAUCCAAACAAACAAAGGUCAACUGCACUGUAUGACAGCAUAUUUCAUGGGCCACAAAUAAACGGAGUUUGAGUGUAUGGUAAAACAGGAAAACUGUAUAGCAAAAGUUGCGUGAAAUCCAUUUUUUCAUUAAGCAAAUUUCAUUCUUUGAGAAACUGAUAUUUAAUUUUAGUCUUAUUUCGAAAAUCGCGUAUCCAAUCAAAUAAUGUAACCUUUUUUCCACAUACGAAAAGCUAACGAUACUAAAGUCAAAUGAA